UACGUAGGGGGCAAGCGUUGUCCGGAAUCAUUGGGCGUAAAGAGCGCGUAGGCGGCCCAGUAAGUCCGCUCUGAAAGUCAGGGGCUCAACCCCUGAAUGCGGGUGGAUACUGCUGGGCUAGAGUCCGGAAGAGGAGAGUGGAAUUCCUGGUGUAGCGGUGAAAUGCGCAGAUAUCAGGAAGAACACCCGUGGCUAAGGCGGCUCUCUAGUACGGUACUGACGCUGAGACGCGAAAGCGUGGGGAGCGAACAGG
rnacentral:rRNA from 1 species